AUCACUUCUUGGCUUUUGGCUGAGAUCAAGUGUCAUAUACAUUCCAGUCAAUUUACUAUCUGAUCAGCCCUCUAUCUGAGGACAACAUGUAGAAUGGAGUUUUAGAAACAGGAAAUGGGAUAAGAGCUGGCUCUGCCCAUUUUAUGAAUGGACCCCGUAUUUUAUUACUUCCCAGAAUGGUGUACAAAAA
rnacentral:snRNA from 1 species